AUAGCUAAGAAGUAUAGCAUCUCCCUUACACCGAGAAGUCAUCCGUGCAAAUCGGA
rnacentral:tRNA from 1 species